rnacentral:rRNA from 1 species
UACGUAGGGUGCGAGCGUUAAUCGGAAUUACUGGGCGUAAAGCGUGCGCAGGCGGUUGUGUAAGACAGGUGUGAAAUCCCCGGGCUUAACCUGGGAACUGCGCUUGUGACUGCACGGCUAGAGUAUGGCAGAGGGGGGUGGAAUUCCGGGAGGAGUGGUGAAAUGCGUAGAGAUCCGGAGGAACACCAGAGGCGAAGGCGGCGCCCUGGGCUGCACCUGACGCUCAUGCACGAAAGCGUGGGGAGCAAACAGG